GAGCAUCCUUGGUGAUGUCAACGCUGUGUGACCCGACAAGGCUUCAGGAACUGUCGGAAGCUUAGAGAGUCUGAAAGGAGGGGAUAAGAGGAUAUUUCUGAAAUCCUUUCGAUCGGACUGGUG